AUUGAACGCUGGCGGAAUGCUUUACACAUGCAAGUCGAACGGUAGAGGGGGCGACCCCUCGAGAGUGGCGAACGGGUGAGUAAUAUAUCGGAACGUGCCCAGUCGUGGGGGAUAACGUAGCGAAAGUUACGCUAAUACCGCAUACGAUCUAAGGAUGAAAGCGGGGGAUCGCAAGACCUCGCGCGAUUGGAGCGGCCGAUAUCAGAUUAGGUAGUUGGUGGGGUAAAGGCUCACCAAGCCAACGAUCUGUAGCUGGUCUGAGAGGACAACCAGCCACACUGGAACUGAGACACGGUCCAGACUCCUACGGGAGGCAGCAGUGGGGAAUUUUGGACAAUGGACGCAAGUCUGAUCCAGCCAUUCCGCGUGCAGGAUGAAGGCCCUCGGGUUGUAAACUGCUUUUGUACGGAACGAAAAGGUCUCUCUUAAUACGGGGGGCUCAUGACGGUACCGUAAGAAUAAGCACCGGCUAACUACGUGCCAGCAGCCGCAGUAA
rnacentral:rRNA from 1 species